GGAGGAGGAGGAGGCCAAUUCCUGAUGAUGAUGAUGAUAAUGAUGACGCUGAUGACGAUCAUGCACACGCAAGCAUAUUCUUCCCUGCUCUACAAACAAAUUAGUCUUCUGUGCAAUACUGUCAUCACACCACAGCCAAUCAUCUUAUCCAAUCACUAGCUCUCCUUUCUCUCUCCUCUUUAUCACCCAGACCAUCACAACAUGUAGGUACUUGGUUUCAUCACGCUCUCCUCUUCCAUCACUCCUUUACACUUCUCAUUUUUCAUCACAUCAGUCAUAGUAUGCAGUAUUUCAUAUACCUGAACACAUUACAUUCAUUGCAUUAUUGUCUAAUCUUUUCUUUGUAUUGAUUUUUCUUUACAUCCUUCUUAUUUAAUUCAUUUUUUUAACCUUAUCUCUAACUUUAUUUUAGUGUGGCUUUACUGUAGGUACUUGAAACUGUCUUACUCGUCAAGGCUAUUAACUGCCAAAACUUAAUCCAUUCUGUUACUAUUCUUGUGUUUCCUUUAAUCUCAUUUCCUCUCAAAUCUCUACCAUGUAUUUUACUACCAGGUGCUCCACUCUCCUCUGAAUAAGCCACCAAUGUAAUACUGUACUGUAUACUUGCAAACAAUGGUAUCCUCUCUAUGCCCUAUCAAGCUAAAAACUCUGCCUAAUAUUACUGCAUUCAACUUACAACUCCACUCAAAGACAAACUAGGCAGUACAGUGAGGUGAAAGGGCAGCUGCCAAUGUGCCCUCUAAAUCUUGCCCAGCCGGUGAAGGGACCAGGAGCGAAAGAGGGAGCGUCUCCGGGAAGUUGGCGGUGCGUCACCUCCAUGACUCGCUUUCAAAAGCAACGUGGCCCCACCCUGCAGGUUGACCCAUCGCUCCACACUGCCUUCUGCACCUGGCUCUGUGAGGAAGGAAUGCACCAUCAUCAGUAAGCAGAAUAAUAUAGAACUGAAUUAAAAGUUGAUAAUUUGAGCUUAGAGUGAAAGACUGAUUGACACAUCAUAGACAAAUGCACACAACACAAAUCUACAUAUACCUAAUAGUACAUGAAGUGACCUUACCAGUGAAGAGAUCCCCAAGAGUCACAUUUGAAGAGUUGAGGAGCUGGCGUGACCCUGACCUGACUUCCAGCACCAAGACAGCACGUCGGCUCACCUCACUGUCCACUUGCCACUCACAGUCAAAAGUUGGUGAGGGGCAUGCAGGAACAAGGCGCGACCGACCCACUGUCUUGGUGCUCCUGCUGCCACCGCUGCUGCUGCUGGUGCUGCUAAGGCUUCCUCCAUUCUUCUCAUCACUGCUGAAUUGCAGGUGAAUGAAAAGCAAGAGAAAGAGGAAGAGGAGGAGAAACACAAGAGGCAGCAGCAGAAGAUAAUAAGCAUGGUGAAAAUAGGCAGGGAUAAAGGAAGAGUGAACAGCAAAGGAAGAUUGGAAGAUUGGAUGGGGAAGGAAACCAAGACAAGCAGAAGACACAGGAGAGGCAGGGCAGACAGGAUACAGGAGAGGCAAGGCAGGCAGGACACAGAAGAGGCAGGAGGAAAAAAUAGUGAGCAUGGUGGAAAUAAGACAUGGACAAGGGAAGGAAGGACAGAAGAGAAAAGGAAAAGGAAAUGAAGUGAAUAAACUUAACUAACACUAUUCACAAUGAAAUAGAAGCUACUUUUUUUUCCACAGAGUCAAAGUCAUCAUAAAAGAUACUCGUAAAAGUUGAUGUUUGAAAGGCUUAAUAUCUCUGAGGAAAGGAGAAUCAUGAGUCCAUGGUUGGCUUUAGUUCUGGAGGCAGUGGACCUUACUGUAAAAUGCUCACCUAAUACGGAUCCUGAGAAAGAGCUGCAGGCCUGAGCGAGGAAUGUGGAGCCCCUGCACACGCUUGGCGACGCCGCGCACAUUGACAAAUACCUCAGCCCGUUGUGGAAUACUGCUGCUGUUGUUGUUGUUUACAUUGUUGUUGUUGCUGCUAUUCAGUGCUUUCGUAGAUGACGAAACUGUCCGAUGAAAUGAGUUGGGAUGAAGAUGAGCUGCUGUGUGUGUGUGUGUGUGUGUGUGUGUGUGUGUGUGUGUGUGUGUGUGUGUGUGUGUGUGUCUUAGGUUUUUAAGGUAAAUUAGAUAUAAAACUCACUAAACUUAAUAU
rnacentral:lncRNA from 1 species